GAUGAACGCUAGCGGCAGGCCUAAUACAUGCAAGUCGAGGGAGAAUGUUGGAUUCGUCUGACAUGAAACCGGCGCACGGGUGCGUAACACGUAUGCAACCUACCUUUAACUGGGGUAUAGCUCAGAGAAAUCUGAAUUAAUCCCCCAUAAGACUACGACAUGGCAUCAUGAUGUAGUUAAAGCUCCGGCGGUUAAGGAUGGGCAUGCGGUACAUUAGCUAGUUGGUGGGGUAAUGGCUCACCAAGGCUACGAUGUAUAGGGGGUCUGAGAGGAUGAUCCCCCACACUGGUACUGAGACACGGACCAGACUCCUACGGGAGGCAGCAGUAGGGAAUAUUGGUCAAUGGACGCAAGUCUGAACCAGCCAUGCCGCGUGAAGGAUGAAGGCCCUAUGGGUCGUAAACUUCUUUUAUUAGGGAAGAAAAAACGGGAUGCGUCCUGUACUGACGGUACUUAAUGAAUAAGGAUCGGCUAACUUCGUGCCAGCAGCCGCAGUAA
rnacentral:rRNA from 1 species